rnacentral:lncRNA from 1 species
GAGACCCCCGCCUCCUGUCCCGGGACCCACCCAGGCGGAGGCAAGGGCAGGGGCGCUGGGGGCCCAGAGAGAGGGCGCCGCGAUGGAUGAAUGAGCUGUUUCCAGCAUUCCUGUGCGUCUGCUGGUUGUAGCUGCAGUCAAGAUUUGGGGCGGUCUCGUUUGUUGUGGGUGGGUGAUCUGGGAUCACGAUUUUCUCACUCUGUGCCCGGAAAUCAUGCCAUCUCUCGCCCAACGCUGUAUUUUAUAGGCUUCAACUCAAAAUUUUCCUUCAUGGCACAGUGGAAAGCUUUGAAGACGGCGGUUCUGGGGUCAGUGUUGCCCCUCGGGGGAUAAGUGACCUUGGGAAGGCCAUUUUCCUUUUCCUGGCAUGAUAAAACGAACCGUGGGGGUGGUCCAUAAUGGUUGCAGCACUGUCAUCAGGCUUGUGAGGGGAGCUUUUCCAUCACCCUCUAACCACCCCCUCCCCAGGACAUAACUGGAAUAUCAGUGAAGUUCUUUGAGCAUCGACCCCCUACAGUUCUGCCCCCUGUGGUGAUUGGAUUUGUGUGUCUCUGCACCUUGCUCCUAUUAGGCGCUUAAUGAACUUUAGUUAACUGAUUAUUGAAUGAAUAAUACGAAUCACCUUCAUAAAUCCGGACCCCUGCAAUUCCUCUUCCAGGCCGGGCGAGGGGGAGGGUAGGGGAUGGGGGAGAAUAUUGAGAUGAUUAAUAAUCGCGCGGCAGGGUUGCUGAUGUAAAGCGAUUUGCAGAUCUAAAGGGCAAUAAGCA